UACGUAGGUGGCAAGCGUUAUCCGGAAUUAUUGGGCGUAAAGCGCGCGCAGGUGGUUUCUUAAGUCUGAUGUGAAAGCCCACGGCUCAACCGUGGAGGGUCAUUGGAAACUGGGAGACUUGGGUGCAGAAGAGGAAAGUGGAAUUCCAUGUGUAGCGGUGAAAUGCGUAGAGAUAUGGAGGAACACCAGUGGCGAAGGCGACUUUCUGGUCUGUUCUUGACGCUGAGGCGCGAAAGCUAGGGGAGCAAACGGG
rnacentral:rRNA from 1 species